rnacentral:rRNA from 1 species
AUGUUUCUCCUCCUUAGCCUCCUCGUCGUCGGCGUGCUGGCCUCUGACACGCCCGUAUGCCCGACCCACCAGUGCGGCAAGGUGAAAAUCCGGUAUCCAUUCUGGAUCGACACGGGUGACGCUUGGCAUUGCGGUCAUCCGAGCCUCCGCCUCGAAUGCCGUGGCCGCACGCCCGUUCUGCGCCUGCCGUCGGGAGAAUACGCCGUCACCGACAUCCUCUAUGGCGACACGAUGGACGGCGACCGGAGGGUCUCCCUGUUCGACCUCGGCGUCUUCUCACAGCACAACAGAACCUGCCCGUUCGUCGGCCGGAAUCUCACCCUCCCGUCCGGCUCCCACCCGACGCUUUCAAUCACCGCCAGCGACACCAACCUCACCUUCUUCGUGAACUGCUCCUACAUCGACGACAAUGUUGGAGCGAGACACCUCGUCGACUGCCUCAAGAGCGAGGAACGCAAGAGCACUUACGUGUUCCAAGGCGACUCGCUGCCGUACGACUACGCCACCCAGUGCGAGAAAGUCAUCGCAAUGCCGGUUCUGAGCACGUCUUUGCGUGGCGGUACAACUUCGAAACUGCUUGACGACGUCGUCCCCGCGCUGAAGAAAGGCUUCGAGCUUAGAUGGUGGAGGGCGGCGGCGGGGAGUGAGUGCGGGGGCUGCGAGAACGGCGAGGGUUUCUGCGUCCACAGGCGGGAGGCGGGAAAGAAAUCAGGGAGGUUCACGUGCGUGGCUAAUGCCAGUGCUCUCGCACCCAAAUCUUCAGGUGAGGGUACUGUACUGAAGAUUGUAUUACCAAUAACUGCUGGUCUUUUGAUUCUCACAUGUGCAUCUUUUGUAUGGGCAUACAAGUCAAGAGGUGAACGGAGAAUCAACGAUAUUCAGAACAAUGAUCCACAACAACCCUUGAACAUAUUCACGCUCAAUGAACUUGAGAUAAAUAUAGAGCUUCCUUUGGUUAGUUUUGAAGAGAUCAGUAUUGCAACAAAUAAUUUCUCAAACAGCAACAUGAUUGGCAGAGGUGGUUUCGGAGUAGUUUAUAAGGGGAUUUUCGGAGGUGGAAAGGAAGCCGCUGUAGAAAGACUCGGUAAGAGUUCUAGGCAAGGGGCCGAUGAGUUCAAAAAUGAGGUGAUCUUGAUUGCCAAAUUGCAACAUAGGAAUCUCGUUCGGCUUCUUGCCUAUUGUACUCACGAGGAUGAGAAGUUGCUAGUCUAUGAAUACCUGCAUAAUAAAAGUUUGGACGCCUUCCUUUUUGACACUACAAGGAGAUCCAUACUUGAUUGGCCAACCCGGUUCAAGGUAAUUAAAGGGCUUGCAAGGGGGCUUCUUUAUCUGCACCAAGAUUCGAGGUUGACAAUAAUUCAUAGAGAUCUCAAAGCAAGCAAAGUCUUGCUAGAUGCAAACAUGAACCCCAAAAUAUCUGAUUUUGGUCUAGCAAAGAUAUUUGGGGGAAAUGAGCCAGAAGAUAAAACUACCCACAUUGUUGGGACAAUCGGUUACAUGUCUCCUGAGUACGCAAGGGAAGGUUUCUUUUCCGUCAAGUCUGACACCUAUAGCUUUGGUGUCCUACUGUUGGAGAUUAUAAGCGGAUUAAAGAUUAGUUCAGCCCAUCUCAUAGCGGACGGCUCACUAAGCCUUAAGGCUUAUGUAAGUACAUCAAAAUUCUCUAUUUUCAAAAACUCAAAUCAUCAUAAUAACUUUAGGAUUUCAUUGGUUUAG